ACAGUUGACUGGUUUCUCCUUUCACUCUGCUGACAGGCUGACUCAGUCCCAGGCUUUCAGCUCUACUUGUUCUUACAACUGGCAUAUUUCUGCUAUCUGGUUCAUUUUAUUGCAACUGUCUUUUUGACUGAAUCUCAGCAGCAACCAAAAGCUGAAAAUGGAGCACAAAUUGUUGCCAGAUAUGUUGCUCAUACACACAUACAAAAAAAUCAACACAAAGUCACAGAAGGAGAGAUGCUUUGAUGCUUUUGAUAUUCCUGCAGGGGAUUCUGGCCAUGGAGAGGUGGGACUCAGAUGGAACCACUUGCUGCCAGAAGCAGGAGCCUGUUGAGGCCAACUUCCCUUCCAUACAGGAAAGAAAAUGAAGGGGAGCCAGACAGAAAUCCAAAACCAGGAAACUAAAACAGUUCAAGCUUUGUUUAAUAAACAAUAAGGCAACUUCUACCACCAACAGAACAGAGGUCAGAGAGCCAGAGCUGCAUGAAGAAACUUGAGCAGGUGCCAGAAGAAUGGGCUUUUUCUACCUGGACCCUACAAUAGAUACAGCACACGAAGGAUCCAGGAGAUAAAAGCAACAGGAUCAAGAGUUUAA
rnacentral:lncRNA from 1 species